rnacentral:pre_miRNA from 1 species
UCACUCCACAGGCGGCCGGCCCCCAGGCUGGGCUGGCGAGUAUCUCUUCCAAAGGCUCCCCCUCAAGGACGACUAGGAGC